rnacentral:rRNA from 1 species
UGAGGAAUAUUGGUCAAUGGACGAGAGUCUGAACCAGCCAAGUAGCGUGCAGGAUGACGGCCCUAUGGGUUGUAAACUGCUUUUGUUUGGGAAUAAUCGACAUUACGUGUAAUGUUUUGCAUGUACCAUUCGAAUAAGGACCGGCUAAUUCUGUGCCAGCAGCCGCGGUAAUACGGAAGGUCCAGGCGUUAUCCGGAUUUAUUGGGUUUAAAGGGAGUGUAGGCGGUUGGUUAAGCGUGUUGUGAAAUGUAGAUGCUCAACAUCUGACUUGCAGCGCGAACUGGCUGACUUGAGUACACACAACGUAGGCGGAAUUCAUGGUGUAGCGGUGAAAUGCUUAGAUAUCAUGAAGAACUCCGAUUGCGAAGGCAGCUUACGGGAGUGUUACUGACGCUUAAGCUCGAAGGUGCGGGUAUCGAACAGG